rnacentral:rRNA from 1 species
UACAGAGGGUGCAAGCGUUGCUCGGAAUCAUUGGGCGUAAAGGGUAGGUAGGUGGUCUCAUUUGUCUGGGGUGAAAGCCCAGGGCUUAACCCUGGAAGUGCCCCGGAAACGGUGAGACUGGAGUCCUGGAGAGGGUCGUGGAGUUCCCGGUGUAGCGGUGAAAUGCGUAGAGAUCGGGAGGAACACCAGUGGCGAAGGCGGCUACCUGGACCAGCACUGACACUGAGGCACGAAAGCGUGGGGAGCAAACAGG